rnacentral:rRNA from 1 species
CGGCGGACGGGUGAGUAACGCGUGGGUAACCUGCCUCAUACAGGGGGAUAACAGUUGGAAACGGCUGCUAAUACCGCAUAAGCGCACAGUACCGCAUGGUACCGUGUGAAAAACUCCGGUGGUAUGAGAUGGACCCGCGUCUGAUUAGCUAGUUGGUGGGGUAACGGCCUACCAAGACGACGAUCAGUAGCCGACCUGAGAGGGUGACCGGCCACAUUGGGACUGAGACACGGCCCAA